CAUAACUAUAGAACAGGUAGACAAAUCAGCAGCCAUUCUUCUACAGGAAAAUUAAAUUAGGUCAUUUAUCAACUGCUGGGUGAUUUCAGAUAGUUACUUAUCUCAAAAUGAAGCCUCCACUGCAUGUGUCAAAUCUGUAGCUCAGCCCCUAAAGUUCCCUCAAGUUUGGGAGCAUAAUUAGUCAGUUUUGUUUCUCCUGUCUUCCUGAUAUGCUAUUUUAAUUUUCAGAAAUUUCCAACAAACCGAGAAAAUGGCCUUUAGUCAGGACUCAUAGCUGCCCAUUAUUUACUAUAUAUUAAGUGCUCCAGGAAGGACCUCUCAAAAAGGAAUCACUGACUACCACCACCCCAGUCCUCAUCAAAGAUCAAGAGAUAAUAUGUUCAUUAAAGGCAUCACUGCAACCCAGGUCAAAUGUAUGCUAUAUGUCACCAGGAAUACUGAGCAUUUGAAGUAAUUAAAAACACAUGAAAAAUCUUACGGACAUUUCAUUUUAAAGAUGUUUAUGUUGAGUGGCCCAUGAGAGCGGGAGGAGGUGGCGGUGGCAGGAAGAUGCUGCUGUUUGGCAUAAAUUGCAAUCAAUUAG